rnacentral:rRNA from 1 species
AAAAAUCCGCGCAAUAAGCCAAAGGUGUGACGGGGAGCGAAAUUAUAGUAGCGAAGUCCGGAUACAUGCUGUCAAGAAAAGCCGCUAUUGCGCCAUAUGUACCCGUACCGUAAACCGACACAGGUGGAUGAGGAGAGAAUCCUAAGGCCGGCGGGAGAAGUGUUGUUAAGGAACUCGGCAAAAUGGCCCCGUAACUUCGGGAGAAGGGGCGCCCAGAAAUGGGCCUCAGAGAAAAGGCUCAAGCAACUGCUUAGCAAAAACACAGGUCUAUGCGAAACCGAAAGGUGAGGUAUAUGGGCUGACGCCUGCCCGGUGCUGGAAGGUUAAGGGGAGAGGUUAGCCGCAAGGCGAAGCUUUGAACUUAAGCCCCAGUAAACGGCGGCCGUAACAAUAACGGUCCUAAGGUAGCGAAAUUCCUUGUCGGGUAAGUUCCGACCCGCACGAAAGGCGUAAUGAUUUGAGCACUGUCUCGACAACACACCCGGUGAAAUUGAAAUACCAGUGAAGAUGCUGGUUACCUGCGCCAGGACGGAAAGACCCCAUGGAGCUUUACUCUAGUUUGAUACUGGGACCCGGUAUGACAUGUACAGGAUAGGUGGGAGGCUGAGAAUUAAUGACGCCAGUCAUUAAGGAGCCGCUGUUGGGAUACCACCCUUGUGAUGCCAGGUUUCUAACGAGCUGCCGUGAACCGGCAGGCGGACAAUGUCAGGCGGGGAGUUUGACUGGGGCGGUCGCCUCCGAAAGGGUAUCGGAGGCGCUCAAAGGUUCCCUCAGAAUGGUUGGAAACCAUUCGGAGAGUGCAAAGGCAGAAGGGAGCCUGACUGCGACACCGACGGGUGGAGCAGGUACGAAAGUAGGACUUAGUGAUCCGGUGGUAUAAAGUGGGAUUGCCAUCGCUCAACGGAUAAAAGCUACCCUGGGAUAACAGGCUUAUCACUCCCAAGAGUUCACAUCGACGGAGUGGUUUGGCACCUCGAUGUCGGCUCAUCGCAUCCUGGGGCUGGAGUAGGUCCCAAGGGUUGGGCUGUUCGCCCAUUAAAGCGGUACGCGAGCUGGGUUCAGAACGUCGUGAGACAGUUCGGUCCCUAUCCGGCGCGGGCGUAAGAGAUUUGAGAGGAGCUGUCCUUAGUACGAGAGGACCGGGAUGGACGGACCACUGGUGUAUCUGUUGCACCACCAGGUGCACGGCAGAGUAGCCAAGUCCGGACGGGAUAAACGCUGAAGGCAUCUAAGCGUGAAGCCCCCCUCAAGAUGAGAUCUCUCAUUCGAAAGAAGUAAGACCCCUUGAAGACGACGAGGUAGAUAGGGCAGGGGUGGAAGGGCAGUAAUGUCCGGAGCUGACUGUUACUAAUCGGUCGAGGGCUUGACC